UUUUUUGUUUUUUGUUUUUUUUUGACAGGAGGACACAGUGGGAGUACAGUGCCAGAAACUGACUCUGCUUUUUUGUGUUGGGGAAAGGAGCCUGCGGUGAAAUGAUUGAUUUUUUGUCAUUGUUUAAAAUAUAGAACAGUGUAUUAGGAUUUAAGUCUUCAUAACUCUUCUGUCUUUGCCUCAUUAUUUCAGUGCUCUAGAGCAGCACUUCAUUGUGGGUUUUUUUUUUAAGUCUAUUUUAUGUUAGUUCUUUCUCCAGAGACAUAUCUUUGAAGCUAGGAUCAUGAGCAGUCUCUCAUAUAAAAAUCUGUUAGGUGCCUAGAGAUACUCAAGAAUUGCCUCAGCAUGAUCACUUAGAGAUUACUCUGUUCUAGUUAAAUGGACUUUUCCUCCGUGGCAUUCAGGCAAGGUAUGUGCUUGGGAACUAAGCAAUCUUGUUAAGUUUUAUUAUUGUACUUUUUAUUAAUAAAAAUAUUUUAAACUUCAGAAUCCAUGGCUAUUAUCUUGAAUUUUUACAUUUCUACAACAUGGCAUGCAUGACAUGAGUAGAUCAUCUUCUAUCUCUUAACUGGGUAAAGUUGUGGUGAAACUACUUUAUAGUAGCAUGGGGCAAAAAAGGAAGCUGGGCUGUUUUAGACACAAUAAUUUAUCAAAAUACACAAGACCCUCCCCAUUUUUGGGAAUCUGCUUAGCAUGUCCCCAAAUGGGGCAUCAUGAAAACUGUGCUCCUUUUGUAUUAUUUCCUACAGAGACUCCCCUUGUGUGAUACGGGCUCAGCUGGCUAGGUUUCCUUGCCUAUCCUUGUUUCCUUCACCAUGUUGUUGGUUUGUUCAUUUGUUUUUUCCUAUGAAGGAAUUCAAAAGAGAGGGUACUGGGAUAGCUUUAAUCUCCAAAGCUACCUCAGUACAAAUACCACCCCUGGUUGGGGAUACGGGGAGUUGCUUUGUCUGUAGACUCUGCUGUGGGAAACUUUGUCUUUCAGAGAGGUACUGGAAAAGAAAUAAAAGGGCGGGAAACCUGUGAAAGAUUAAGACCAAGAGCUUGAAGGACAUAUUAAAGGCUAACUGUAUGUGGGGCUGACAGAAAGAGAUUUUCACUGCAGAUUAUUUAAAACAAGGAAUCUCAGGCUUCAUAAGUUCCCCAAUAAUGUUUGUUUACUCAUUUAUUUAUUCUGAGAGUCACUGUCACCUCUUUGGGUUAAAAGUAUCAUCAAUUCGAUGCUACAAAUAUACUGACUAAAAAGCUACAAAUAAGCCAGUCUCUUUGGUGGUUUCUAUGGAGGUGUAUAAAACAGCUGUUCUCAAGAAAUUCACUCCAUAAUUCAGGGCACCAGUAUGAAAAGAAACACAGUAGUGUCUUAAGUGUCAUAAUGGAUAUAUGUUAAAUAUUAUUGAAAAUUAAAAGCACUUAAACAGUAAAAGAUACCAUAAAAAGUUGAAAGACAGCCAUUUAUAAAACAAGAUUUGUGUCUAGCAUAUAAAAGAAAUCAUACAAAUAAUAAAAAAUAUACAACACAAAUGAAAAAUUAAAAAUUCACAGAUGGAUUUUAUAUAGUCAGUAAGCAUAUAAAAAGAUCUUCAACCUCACUACUAAUCACGGAAAUGAAUUUAAAAUGAAAAUCUUUUUCUAUUCAUUUAACUAGAAAAUAUUUACAAGUUUCAUAAGAUUAAAUAUAUAGAAAUAGGCAAUUAUUAUAUACUACUGGCUGGCGAUAAAAAUAGUAGUCAUACUGGAGGGAUUUUUUUCUAUAUUUAUUAUUAACAAAAAAGACCAAAUAUCCCAUGUACCAGAAAUUUAACUUUUUCGUGUCUACAGAAGAAAUCUCUUAUAUGUAGAGGUUGGUACAUAUACAGUAAAGAUGUUCAGCAUUGAUUAUAAUAAUGAAAAUUAUAUAUAACCUAAAUGUCUAUCAACAAGGAAAUGACAGUAAGCUAUGGUGUAAGUUAUACUGUGGAAUAUAAUGCAGCAGUUAAAUGGAAUGAGGUAGUUCUACAUUAACUGAUAUGGAAUGCUAUUCAAAUCAUAUUGUUUUGGAAUCCAUACCAACCAGAUCAUUGUGCCUUUGUAUUAAGAAAAUUGAAGAACCUUGGCUUGAGGGUUUAAAAUAAGUCUGUGAGAACUCAGGAGGGAAACAACUUGUAGGGCUGGCAGAGAAUAUGUUCAAGGGAAUAGUGAGCACAAACACACCUCUCUUGAAAUAUUUUAUUAAAAUUAUACAGGAGUUAUUUGGGAGUCAAUAUGUAAAUUUAUAUUUGAACACCUGAUUACCCUGUACAUUACCUUGAUUUACUUAUCAGGUUAGUUACAGUCACUUGAGAGGGAGUAGGGAUAGGGGAGAAUCGGAUCAGGUACAUUUUUAAAAGAAUUAGAGUAGGUCAGCAAGGGUUAAAGGUGCAAAUAUUACCCUGGCGAAAUCAAAGAAAACAAUCAUUGAAUCUUGGCCAGGGGAACAUAAGAAACCAGACGAGCUGAAAAUGAAAGCCCUAAAAUACAGGCUUUUUGCCUGGUGAGGGGUGAAAGGACAACAGACCUGAAGGUUUGCUCCUCACAUUAUCUGAAUCUGCUGCGUUAAUUCUAUUUGUAGACUGGAUAUAUUCCCUCAACAUUUUCUUCAAAUUAUAUUUUCUUUUUUUAUCCAGCUAUAUUGAAAUAUAAUUGGCAAAUAACAUUAUGUAAGUUUAAGGUGUACAAUGUGAUGGUUUGAUAUAUAUAUAUUGUGAAAUUUUUAUCACAAUAAGUUUAGUUAAUAUAUACUUCACCUAACAUAAUUACCAUUGUGUUGGCUGUAGUUACGGUGAGACUAUUGAAGUUAUACUCUUAUAGCAACUCUUAAGUAUUCAAAAGAGUUUUGUUAACUAUACUUACCAUGCUAUAUAUUAUAUAUAAAAUACACACACACACACACACACACACACUAUUCACUUUAUAACUGAAAGUUUAUACUAUUUGACCAACAUCUCUCCAUUUGGCCCACCACUCAGGCCCUGGCCAAAUAUAAUUCUACUUUUUCUAUGUGUUUGAUGCUUUUAGAUUUCACAUAUAAAUGAGAUUUUAGAGUAUUUUUCUUUGUUUGACUUAGUUCACUUAAUGAUAGGCCCAAAAGAUUCAACCAUGUUGUUGCAGGUGGCAGGAUUUCUAAGGGCUGGAUAAUAUUCCACUGUAUAUAUUAAAUAUAGAUAUAAUAUUUUCAUUAUCCAUUCAUCUGUCAAAGGAAACAGGUUAUUUUCAUGUCCUGGCUAUUAUGAAUAAUGCUGAAAUGAAUAUAGGAAAGCACAUACCUGUUCAAGAGAGUAAAUUCAUCUUCUUCAGAAUUGGAAUUGCUGAAUCAUAUGGUAAUUCUAUUUUUAAUUUUUAAAGAAAAUUCCAUAUUGUUUUCCAGGAGGCUAUACCAAUUUACAUUCUCAUCAACAGUGCACUGGGUUCUGUUUUAUCUACAUCCACACUGGCAUUUUUAAUCUCUUGAAUUCUUAAUAGCCACUCUAAGAGUUGUGAACUGAUGUCUUACCGUGGUUUUAAUUUUCAUAUCCCAGAUGAUUAGUGAUGUUGAGCAAAUUUUUAUGUAUUUGUUGGCCACUUGCACGUUUCUUUGGGAAAAUGUCUACUGGAGUCCUCUGGCAAUUUUUUAAUGUAUUUUUGUUUGUUUUUUCUAUUCAGUUGUUUGAGUUCCUUUAUAUAUUUGGAUAUUAACCCCUUAUCAGAUAUAUGGUUUGGAUUUUUUUUUCUCCCAUUCUAUGGGUUGUCUUUACAUUAAAAAAUUGAUUGAAGCAUAAUUGAUAUAUAAUUUGUGUAAGUUUAAGGUGAACAAUAUGUUGAUUUGAUACAUUUAUAUAUUGUGACAUUAUUACCAAUGUAGCAUUAGCUAACACCUCUAUCAUAUCCCAUACUUCUCUUUUUUGUGGUUAGAACAUUUAAGAUCUAGUUUCUCAGCAACUUUGAAGUAUAUAAUACAGUAUUGUUAAUUGUAAUCACAAUAGCGUGAAUUAAAUAUCUAGACAUAUUCAUAUACUAACUGCAAAUUUGUACCCUUUGACCAAUAGCUCCCCAUGUUCCCUGCUAAUAGUCCCUGAUAACUUCUAUUCUACUCUGUUUCUAAAGUUUGGCUUUUAAAAUUCCAAAUAUAAGUGAUAUUAUACAAUAUUUGUUUUUCUCUUUUCUGACUUAUCUCACUUUGCAUAAUGCCUUCAGGGUCAAUCCAUGAUGUCCCAAAUAGCAGGAAUAAUUUCAUUCUCAUGGCUGAAUAAUAUUGCAUUGUAAAUAUAUAACAUAGCUUCUUUAUCCUGUGUGGUUUCUUUAUCCAUUCAUCCAUUGAUGGAUACUUAACGCUGUUUCCAUAUCUUGGCUGUUGUAAAUAAUGCUGCAAGUAAACAUAGGAGUACAGAUAUAUUUUUGCUAUCGAGUUUUCAUUUUCUCUGGAUGUAUACCUAGAAGUUGGAUUACUGGAUCAUAUUCUAUUUCUAUUUUUACUUUUUGAGGAAAUUCCAUACUGUUUUCAAGAGUGGCUGGACCAAUUUACAGUCCCACAAAGAGUGCAAAAAUGUUCCCUGUUCUCCACAUUCUCACCAACACUUGUUUUUCUUGUCUUUUCUAUGAUAAACAUGGUAAAAGUUGUGAGGUAAUAUCUCUUUGUGGUUUUGGUUUGCAUUUCCCUGAUUAAUGUUGUUGAGAAUUUCUUCAUGUACCUGUUAGCCAUUUGCAUGUUUUCUUUUGUGAAAUGUCUGUUCAGGUACUUUGUCCAUUUUUUCAUUAGGUUAUUUCCUUUUUUAGUAACAAAAUGUAUGGGUUAAUUAUUUGUUUUAGAUAUUAAUUCCUUAUCAGAUAUAUGGUUUGCAAUAUUUUCUCCCAUUCUGUAGGUUACCUUUAUAUCUUGUUCAUUGUUUCUUUGGUUGUAUGUAAGAUGUUUAGAUUAAUGUCAUCCUACUUGUUGAUUUUGGCUUUUUUAUUUAUACUUUUGGAGUCAUAUCCAAAAAGUCAUUGCCAAGACUAAUGUCAAGGAACGUUCCCCCUCAGUUUUCUUCUAGAAAUUUUACAGUUUCAGGUAUUAUGUUUAAGCCUUAAAUCCAUUUGGAGUUAAUUUUUUGGUGAGUGUUGUGUCAUAGGUGUUUGAUUUCAUUUUUCUUCAUGGGAUUAUACAGGUUUUUGAUCACCAUUUACUGAGGAGAUUAUCCUUUACCCAUUAUUGGCUAGCUUAUCAAAUAUAGCUUGGCCAUGUACAUGGUGGUUAAUUUCUGGGCUUUAUAUUCUGUUCAAAUGGUCUAUGUGCUGAUUUUUCUCCCCAUAAUAUGCUGUUUUUAUUAAUAAAAUAUAUAAUUUUG
rnacentral:lncRNA from 1 species